GAAAAACCUGCUUUAUUUUAUUUUCACCAUUUCUGGGGUGGCUAUGGGGGAAGCGAGUGGCGCGCUUCGAGGGUGUUCGGAGCCAUCAAGUUUCAGCGCUGGGAGAAGGUGGCUUCCGCGUCGCAGGCAGGGUCGGCGUGGCAGCCGUCUGGAGGAAGAGGUGGAGUCAGGGGAAUCCCGGCCGCACCCCCGCCCGCCUCCCCCUGGCCCCGGAGCGCCUUGCCCCGCUCACCCGGGCUGCAGCAGAGGCCCAAGACCGCGCAGCGGCCCCCGCUCCCGCACGCCUUCUGGCCGGACUGGCAGGGCGACGGCAGGUAGUUCUCCUCCUGGCAGCGCAGCGCUUCGGCGGUGCCCACGAAGCAGCCCAGCUCUUCCGCGCAGCAGAUAUUGGGCCCGAAGCAGCGGCCUUUGCCCCCGGGGCCGCAGGGGAGGCACUGCGGGGACGGGCGGGGUGAGCGGGAGCCGGGGCGGCGCUGGGGACUCGCUCGGAGGACCCUGCGAGGCCGGCCGGGGUGCGCCGGGCAAGGAUGCUGGGGUCCGGGGUUCGGAGUUCGGGCGGGACAGCGGGGCUGAGACGCGCUGGGGCGCCGUGGGGGCCUCGACCGCGGUCAAGGGCGGGGCGUCAAAAUCCGCUCAGCUCCUGGAGUUCUCAGGCGAGGCCGGAGCGGGGCGCGCCCCUGUGGCUGCGGGUCCCUCCCUCCCCGGAGCGCCGCGGGACCAGGGCUGGGGACUCACCUUGCGCACGUCGAGGUCCGGCGCGGCCCUCUUGCCUCCCAGGGGGCAGUUCUGGAUGUAGCAGGCGGAGGUCAGCGCCAGGAGGCCGAGCAGACAGCAAGCGAGGCUGGGGCCGGCCAUGGUGCGGGUGCGCUGGGUCCAGGGUCCGUGACUGGUGGCGGUCUCUCCGGCCUGGCCUUUUUAUGCCUGGGCAUUGCGUCGGUGGAGCUCUGUUUAAGAGGGAACCCAACCUGUAGGGAACCCAACCUGAGGCAGAAUGGAAGAAAUGAGAAGCACUGUGAGAGACCAGCCUCACUGGUGGGCCAGUCCCCGACCCCUGGGAGAAGAGAAC
rnacentral:lncRNA from 1 species